rnacentral:rRNA from 1 species
UACGUAGGGUGCGAGCGUUAAUCGGAAUUACUGGGCGUAAAGCGUGCGCAGGCGGUUCGUUGUGUCGGCGGUGAAAGCCCCGGGCUUAACCUGGGAAUGGCCAUUGAAACUGGCGAACUGGAGUGUGGCAGAGGGGGGUGGAAUUCCGCGUGUAGCAGUGAAAUGCGUAGAGAUGCGGAGGAACACCGAUGGCGGAAGGCAGCCCCCUGGGCUGACACUGACGCUCAGGCACGAAAGCGUGGGGAGCAAACAGG